GUCGAGACUGCCGCCGAUGCUGCCUUAAAGAAAAAGGAUGAUUCAGAUUCGGAGGAAGAGCAGGAUGCUCAACCAAGGGAGAAGGGUAUUUCUAACAAAAAGAAAAAGCUUCAGCGUAGGAUGAACAUUGGAGAACUGAAACAAAUCUGCACGAGACCUGAUGUAGUUGAGGUGUGGGAUGCUACUGCUGCAGACCCUAAGCUAUUGGUAUAUCUAAAAUCUUACCGAAAUACUGUUCCUGUCCCACGACACUGGAGUCAAAAACGAAAAUUUUUGCAGGGGAAACGUGGUAUCGAGAAACA
rnacentral:misc_RNA from 1 species